CACACACAUACAGCAUCCACAGACAUACACAGCACCCACACACAUACAGCACCCAUAGACAUACACAGCACCUACACACAUACACAGCACCCACAGACAUACAGCACCCACAGACAUACAGCACCCACAGACAUACAGCACGCACACACAUACGGCACCCACACACAUACACAGCACCCACACACACAUACAGCACCCACACACACAUACAGCACCCUCACAAACACACACAGCACCC